rnacentral:rRNA from 1 species
GGUGGCGAGCGGCGGACGGGUGAGUAAUGCCUAGGAAUCUGCCUGGUAGUGGGGGAUAACGCUCGGAAACGGACGCUAAUACCGCAUACGUCCUACGGGAGAAAGCAGGGGACCUUCGGGCCUUGCGCUAUCAGAUGAGCCUAGGUCGGAUUAGCUAGUUGGUGAGGUAAUGGCUCACCAAGGCGACGAUCCGUAACUGGUCUGAGAGGAUGAUCAGUCACACUGGAACUGAGACACGGUCCAGACUCCUACGGGAGGCAGCAGUGGGGAAUAUUGGACAAUGGGCGAAAGCCUGAUCCAGCCAUGCCGCGUGUGUGAAGAAGGUCUUCGGAUUGUAAAGCACUUUAAGUUGGGAGGAAGGGCAGUUACCUAAUACGUAAUUGUUUUGACGUUACCGACAGAAUAAGCACCGGCUAACUCUGUGCCAGCAGCCGCGGUAAUACAGAGGGUGCAAGCGUUAAUCGGAAUUACUGGGCGUAAAGCGCGCGUAGGUGGUUCGUUAAGUUGGAUGUGAAAUCCCCGGGCUCAACCUGGGAACUGCAUUCAAAACUGACGAGCUAGAGUAUGGUAGAGGGUGGUGGAAUUUCCUGUGUAGCGGUGAAAUGCGUAGAUAUUAGGAGGAACACCAGUGGCGAAGGCGGCUUUCUGGACAGUAACUGACGCUGAGGCGCGAAAGCGUGGGGAGCAAACAGGAUUAGAUACCCUGGUAGUCCACGCUGUAAACGAUGG